UCUUUUUGCUAAAAGCCAGACAUUUCCUCGUUUCCCCCUAAAGCUAAAAUUUCCCUCCAUCGAGCAAGACCGAAAAUUUCUCUCCACCAAGUCCGGCGACCCAUUUCCCCUGUUCCGCCCGUUCUCCCCCCUUUUCCGGCUUCGACCUGCAUUCUCUGGCUGUCUACACCACCGACUAACAUUCUCCCAUUUCCGCCAACCCAUUUCCCCCAUUCUGGCGUAGAUCUCCCCCAUUUCCGGCACCGAUGACGAUCUCUGGCCAUCUUCCAUCUUUGACCGAGCUUCCACCGCCUUUCACCGACCGAGCUCUCCAUUUCCACCGCCAAACGAGCUCCCCCAGUUCCAGCGACCAUUUCCCUCAUUUCCGGCCUAGAUCUCCCCCAUUUUUGGCAUCGGAUAAAGCCUCAUAUCUAAUGAAACAUGCAAGUUCUUCACUGGCAACGUGCAAGUUCUCCUAUAAUGUGAUUUAAACAAGAUCAAGAAGCCAAAAGAUACAGUUGGGACAAACAAUUUUUUUGAAUGGUUUAGUUGGAUGUUGGUGGGAGAGGAUUUUUUUUACGGUGCUAAUAGUUUUGACAUUUUAGAGUAAUGCUGAUAGCUUGAUAUUUAUUAUAGAAUGUGGCCUUAUUUCAA